rnacentral:lncRNA from 1 species
CAGAUGUGUUGAGGUAGUUUCUCUCUCUUGGCUGAUAUGGGAAUGUGGCCAAGAGUCCAGGCUCUGGGACAGACAAAAUGGGUUCCACUCUGCCACUUUAGAAUUGCUGGACUUUCAGCAAGUCAUCCCUAUAUCUGUACUGCAGCUUCUUUCUUGGAUGCUUGGAUUUGAAGAACAAGGUCAAAUGGAAAGCUAGAGAUUCACUGGUCUUUAACUCACUUUCUGCCUGCUCAUGACCUUACCUAAGAGAAGAUAAGAGCAUACAUUGGCCCCAGAAUCAUCAGAAUUGGCUUGACCUUCCUGUAUAUAAAUGCUACUCACCUUUCUAUCCUCAGCUCAGAUGGGACCCUGUCUUAGAAAUCUGCCCACUCUCUUCCAUAAGCCACCUCCUCUGCUACAGACCUUCCUUCAGACUUUGAUCAGGAAGCACUUACCCACUCUGUUAUAUAGGAGUUUGCAGUUGUUUCCUCUCCUCAACUCAGUAUUUCUUAAGGAAGAGGCCUGCCACAAAGGACAGAAGCACCAAACAUUUGGUGAUUAAAUAAAUCCAUGAAUGAACAAAACACAGCAAGAAACUGCAAAGAACGUGGAGAUAAUCUUUAAAAACCCAGUUACAGCUGAAAAUCUCUUGAGGUGCCACUCAGGGACCAGUGUGGUCUGCAAGUGUCCCCUGGAAACUCCUGUCUUCCAGUCUGGUGCACUGAUUGCUAGGAUCUGGCUCCAGGUCCUCCUUGGCUGCCCUGGUCAGCUGGUGAGAACGUGCAACUCCAGCUCAGACCUGGAGUGUUCCUGCAUAAUCUGUUAAUGUAAAUGAUCUGUCAUCUUGACCAGCAAGGUUAAAACAAGUACCUGUUACAAGAAGGAUCUGGACAGCCACAGAGUAGCAUGGAGAGUUCAAGUACAAUUGUUUUCUAAGAGAGGUCAAGUUCACCUUGUGUUGGGCUAACAGUUACCAAUUAAAGGAGAGGAUACUAUAAAUUUUGCUGGUUUUUAAACUCCAGGCCCCAGGUCAGUAACAGAAUAUGUGGGAAGUCUUUAAAAAUACCAGUGAGAGCAUUUGAAAGAGCACAACUGAAAACCACUACUUUUCACACCGGGCUUCAUUCAGAGUUCAAGGCUGUACAUUUUUCUCCCACACAAAUUCAACAGAACAAGAAAUCACAAGAAUUGAGUGUUUUCCAAGUCUGAACUAGGGAGUAUGAACUUCAGAAACAAG